GACGGGUGAGUAAUGCCUAGGAAUCUGCCUGGUAGUGGGGGACAACGUUUCGAAAGGAACGCUAAUACCGCAUACGUCCUACGGGAGAAAGCAGGGGACCUUCGGACCUUGCGCUAUCAGAUGAGCCUAGGUCGGAUUAGCUAGUUGGUGGGGUAAUGGCUCACCAAGGCGACGAUCCGUAACUGGUCUGAGAGGAUGAUCAGUCACACUGGAACUGAGACACGGUCCAGACUCCUACGGGAGGCAGCAGUGGGGAAUUUUGGACAAUGGGCGAAAGCCUGAUCCAGCCAUGCCGCGUGUGUGAAGAAGGUCUUCGGAUUGUAAAGCACUUUAAGUUGGGAGGAAGGGCAGUAAGUUAAUACCUUGCUGUUUUGACGUUACCGACAGAAUAAGCACCGGCUAACUCUGUGCCAGCAGCCGCGGUAAUACAGAGGGUGCAAGCGUUAAUCGGAAUUACUGGGCGUAAAGCGCGCGUAGGUGGUUUGUUAAGUUGGAUGUGAAAGCCCCGGGCUCAACCUGGGAACUGCAUCCAAAACUGGCAAGCUAGAGUACGGUAGAGGGUGGUGGAAUUUCCAGUGUAGCGGUGAAAUGCGUAGAUAUAGGAAGGAACACCAGUGGCGAAGGCGACCACCUGGACUGAUACUGACACUGAGGUGCGAAA
rnacentral:rRNA from 1 species